UGGGGUUAUUUUUUGUUAAGGUGCUUCUGGGGUAGCACCUUUAAGGGGGGGGUACUGUCACGUCCUGGCCAGUAUAAGGUUAAUUGUUUUUGUAGUUUGGUCAGGACGUGGCAGAGGGUAUUUGUUUUAUGUGGUUCGGGGUGGUGUGUUUGUGUAAAGGGUGUUUCAUUUAGUAUUUCCGGGUUUUUGGUUGAUGGUCUGUGUUUGUAUUCUAUGGUUAGUCUAGUGUGUGUGUUUCUAUGUUUGGUUAAUUGGGGUUGGGACUCUCAGUUGAAGGCAGGUGUUGUCUAUCUGCCUUUGAUUGAGAGUCCCAUAUAUUAGGGUAUGUUUGUGUGUGUUUGAUUUGUGGGUGAUUGUUCUGUGUUGAGCCUAUGCUUUGCAGACUGUCAGUUUAUCGUUCGGUUUCUUGUUUGUUGUUUUUGUAUUCGUGUUGAUUUAAUUAAAUGUUCAAAAUGAACAACUGCACACCUGCU
rnacentral:lncRNA from 1 species